rnacentral:rRNA from 1 species
AGAUUGAACGCUGGCGGCAUGCCUUACACAUGCAAGUCGAACGGCAGCACGGGAGCAAUCCUGGUGGCGAGUGGCGAACGGGUGAGUAAUACAUCGGAACGUGCCCAAUCGUGGGGGAUAACGCAGCGAAAGCUGUGCUAAUACCGCAUAAGAUCUACGGAUGAAAGCAGGGGAUCGCAAGACCUUGCGCGAAUGGAGCGGCCGAUGGCAGAUUAGGUAGUUGGUGGGGUAAUGGCCUACCAAGGCGACGACGGGUAGCCGACCUGAGAGGGUGACCGGCCACACUGGGACUGAGACACGGCCCAGACUCUACGGGAGGCAGCAGUGGGAAUAGUUGCACGAAUGGGCGAAAGCCUGAUGCAGCGACGCCGCGUGAGGAUGAAGGCCGUUCGGGUUACGUAAACCGUCGUUUACGACGACGAAGGGACGAAGGUCCGACGAACGGUU